rnacentral:rRNA from 1 species
UACGUAGGGUGCAAGCGUUGUCCGGAAUUAUUGGGCGUAAAGAGCUCGUAGGCGGCCUGUCGCGUCGACUGUGAAAACCCAGGGCUCAACCCUGGGCCUGCAGUCGAUACGGGCAGGCUAGAGUGCAGUAGGGGAGGCUGGAAUUCCUGGUGUAGCGGUGAAAUGCGCAGAUAUCAGGAAGAACACCCGUGGCGAAGGCGGCUCUCUGGGACGGUACUGACGCUGAGACGCGAAAGCGUGGGGAGCGAACAGG